CUUCCUUGAGCCAAGGGGCACUGGUUUCUUCUGACAGGAGGUGGAACACUGGUCUAUGUCUUCCUGUGAGCCAAUGAAUUAGUGAUUCCCACCCAGAUCAAAGUUCAGUCUCCCAAGGCAACUCAGCAAAAAUAAAGUGAAACAAAUUCUCACCCACUCAAACCGGUCUUCCCAUGACCAAGGCAUUAAGCCUGGAUUCGGACGGGCCUUGAGUCACACUUCGCUACUCCUUCAGAGUGAAAAUACUGGUUUCAGUCAAAUGUCUCCAUUCAGCUGAAGCUUGGAUUUAUUAAUGGGAGGAGGGCCCCUGGCAUAGUCGUCUCUGGCAGUCAUCCUGUGGAUUUGGGGUGCUGGGGCCGUACAGGGGAGCCUGCCUCAGAACAGAAAAGUCAGGAGCAACUCCCUCUGCUGUGACCACACCACCUCCAGCCCUAACUCAGAAGUCCUGCUUUGGAGAACAGAAGAGAAAAGGAGCGGUGGAUAUUGGAAGCAGACAGUUGGCUGGGCCAAGGCACAGGACAGAUGCUGGAAGGAUCCCUCCAUUUCGCCGAGGGGCUCAGUACUAACUGGUUCAAGAUGCAAACAAAGUGAAUGUCUGCCAGGGACCGUGGGCCCGAUCGGAGCCAGACAGGGUCCCACCCUUGAGGAGCUCACAGCCUGAGGGAGCGAGGAGCAAGGCCACAGGGUCCUCUGGCUGACUUUGAGAAGGACAAAUGGGCAGCUGCUCUGAGAAGCAGCUGAAGAUCAAGACAAACGUGCAGCCAAUAAGCUCUCCCGUCACUGAGAUUCCCACGGAGAUGUGCAAGGCUUUCCCCGCACCAGCCCUGCUAGUUACUGCUUUCUGGUGUAAUUCAAGCCUUGAUCUGGUGCAAAGCUGAGCUGAAAAGCUGAAAAACGGAAAGCUGAAAAGCUAAGACUUUUGGUCCUCAGGACUAGACCCCUGACCUUAACCUAUGACAACCAAGUGUUAAUGUACCUGUUGUGACUAAAACAUCAAAGGCCAAUAUGACACACGAAAGGGAAAUGUGGCUUAUUGAAAAGUUGAGUUUAAGGCCAAUUAUUUACUUUGUGUGUCAUUAAAGCAGGGGCACUUUCUUGAGAAAUGUUCACUUGACCACUUUUAAAUUAUAGCACAGUAACGUAAGUGAUCCUGUUUCCUGUGACUGCUUCUUGAAUCUACUGGGACCACAGGGGCCUUUAUAGAUUUUGUGAACUAUGCUCUAUCGUUUAUUGAUGGUUUCCUCAUGUGAUAAAUGUUUUACAUUUAUUAUUUAAUACAUCAACCCCACAGGUAGGUGGUAUCAUUCCCAUUUUUAAAGACAGUGGAACUAUGGCUCAGAGAAGUUGAUUAACUUUUUCAUGGUAUCACAGCUAAUAAAUGGGCUCUGAAUUUAGGCUGAUGAAAGCUA
rnacentral:lncRNA from 1 species